GAUGAACGCUGGCGGCGUGCCUAAUACAUGCAAGUCGAGCGAACGGACGAGAAGCUUGCUUCUCUGAUGUUAGCGGCGGACGGGUGAGUAACACGUGGAUAACCUACCUAUAAGACUGGGAUAAAUUCGGGAAACCGGAGCUAAUACCGGAUAAUAUUUUGAACCGCAUGGUUCAAAAGUGAAAGACGGUCUUGCUGUCACUUAUAGAUGGAUCCGCGCUGCAUUAGCUAGUUGGUAAGGUAACGGCUUACCAAGGCAACGAUGCAUAGCCGACCUGAGAGGGUGAUCGGCCACACUGGAACUGAGACACGGUCCAGACUCCUACGGGAGGCAGCAGUAGGGAAUCUUCCGCAAUGGGCGAAAGCCUGACGGAGCAACGCCGCGUGAGUGAUGAAGGUCUUCGGAUCGUAAAACUCUGUUAUUAGGGAAGAACAUAUGUGUAAGUAACUGUGCACAUCUUGACGGUACCUAAUCAGAAAGCCACGUCUAACUACGUG
rnacentral:rRNA from 1 species